rnacentral:rRNA from 1 species
CACGUAGGGUGCGAGCGUUGUCCGGAAUUACUGGGCGUAAAGAGCUCGUAGGUGGUUUGUCGCGUUGUUCGUGAAAACUCACAGCUCAACUGUGGGCGUGCGGGCGAUACGGGCAGACUGGAGUACUGCAGGGGAGACUGGAAUUCCUGGUGUAGCGGUGGAAUGCGCAGAUAUCAGGAGGAACACCGGUGGCGAAGGCGGGUCUCUGGGCAGUAACUGACGUGGAGGAGCG